AGGCAUUCAGUUUAAAGAAAAUAUGUCCGUCUCACACUUAUAGCAGCAUUAGGCGAUCUCACCCUUUAAAGAAGACGAAGUGCUUCUGCACCCAGCCGAUAGCUUCACAUGUGACAAUCUCACACUUAUAGCAGCGUGAGGCGGUCUCACCCUUUAAGGAAGACGAAGUGCUUCUGCACCCAGUCUAUAGCUUCAUAUAUGACAAUCUCACACUUAUAGCAGCGUGAGGCGGUCUCACCCUUUCAGGAAGACGAAGUGCUUCUGCACCCGGCCUAUAGCUUCUCACACAUAGAACAGCCUAUGGCUUCUACAUAUGGCAUCUCACA